rnacentral:misc_RNA from 1 species
UGUUGCUGGCCCCUGGCAUGUGCACGCUCUGUUUACACAUCCACUCACACCUGUGCACCCUCUGUAGUUCUGCGGCCGGAGGGGGCUCUGUCCUCGUGCUGUGGUUCUAGGUCUUUACACACACACCAAAAUAAAGUCUAAUGGAAUGUAUGUCGNGUAUAACGCAAUGAAAUACAACUUUCAGCAACGGAUCUCUUGGCUCUCGCAUCGAUGAAGAACGCAGCGAAAUGCGAUAAGUAAUGUGAAUUGCAGAAUUCAGUGAAUCAUCGAAUCUUUGAACGCACCUUGCGCCCUUUGGAUAUUCCGAAGGGCAUGCCUGUUUGAGUAUCAUGAACACCUCAACUCUCACGGCUUGCCGUGAUGAGCUUGGACUUUGGGGGUCUUGCUGGCCUGUGGUCAGCUCCUCUCAAAUGAAUUAGCUUGCCGGUGUUUGGUGGGAUCACAGGUGUGAUAACUAUCUANNNNNGNGGUUUUCCACCAGGUAACCCUCAGCAANGG